CUUUUCUAAGACUGGUUAUUUGGUCUCUUCCUGAAGAGAUUCAAAUCCCCAUUACCAGGGGGUCUAUAAUGUGAUAAUAAUGUUUGUUAAGUAUAAAAGCUAUGAUAAGGACACACAAGAAAGAGAAAAGUAAGGUAGGAAAACACCUGGCAAGACUAAAGGAGAGGAGUUAAAGUAAACAGAGGUAAAUACAAGGAAAACAAAAUAUCAGUGGCAUCACAAGAUAAAAAAACAUACAGUAACAUACAGAAACAGACUUGGAGAUAGGUGUCUGAAAUGUAAGCUGGAAGAGAAGAUGUUAGGACUGAUUGAUUCAGUUGUUAGGAUAGGAGGAAAUUAUCUAUUCAUACAGUCCCUUCCGACUUUCCCCUCAUUUCUGCAGAUGAGGAUAUUUUCUCAUUGAGGCAGGCUGGCUUCAUUCCAAGACUUGUUUGUGUGCCAUAAAAGUAGAGGCAAGAGAACUUUCUUUCCAAGCUAAUUACGCUCUAUUGAAAGACUGUUGCACUGCAUAUAUGGGUGAAAGCCUGGGUAAUGAUUCGUAUCACACAGGUGACUAAAAAGAGGGAGAAAGCUAAGCGGUUGCUGAGAUGGUGAAGCCCUGGUAUUUAGAAGGAUACUCCACACAUGCAGAAGAUCAUUCAAAGAUGUAUAAUUCUUAGUCAAAAGCAAGAAAGGAUCAAUUUUGCACAAUGAGGAGAAGUCUUUGGGCUGAGAUGCAGCUGUCCCAUACUAAAAGGAUCAGAGACAAUGUAGUUUGUGCCCAAAAUUAAUAGGUAAUAUGUGUUUCUGUAGCAGUUUUGAUUAACUAUUAUAGCUUGAUAUUUAGACUAGAUUGAGUACCCAGCAUGGUAUAACAGAAUAUCUUUUCUGUUUAGUCUUAAUAAGGGAGAGGAAAAUGCCUUUAAUAUCACAAUAAAACAUGGUAGGAACAAGAUUUUCUUAAGAUCACCAUAUGUUAAUUAGAGUCAGUGGAUUCAGAUUAUUUUCAUAUCUUAUAUCUCAGUAUCUUAAAUAAAAUUUUAUUGUCUGAGGAAGCUACUGCUAAGGAUGUUUUAGUCAGAGCAAGACACACAGACAACCAAACAAUAAUAUUUACAGUGGGGAAAGAAAAAGAACAAAUAUGAACCUUUUGGCUUAUAUUUGGAAAGGGCAGCUGGGGAAAGAUCUUAAACGUGUUCAAACAUCACCAGUAAUACAGUCAAGUAUGGCAAACUGGAGGUGAAUUAUAUGCCUUUCUUUUUCUUUCGAAAUGAGCAAAAUAUGGCUUACAAGAAUGCCUGAAACUUUCCAGGAUUUAGUAAUAACUGUAUAACUCUUUUGCAGCACUACCUUCUCUCAGCAUUCAGAAGCACAGUGAGUUAAACUGCUGUAUGCUUGAGCUGGUGGGAUCACCAUCGUCUGCAAUAAAGUACCCAGCUUCCAACUGAAAAACAGAAGAGCAGACUCUCCUUGGCCAGAAGUCAAUGCUGAGAUCUCUGUGCGUACUUCUUCAGCAUGAUGGACAGAUAACAGGAUGAAGACUCCGCAAGAUCAUCAGUUCAACAGUCCCAGCUUGUGAUAAGGCAUGAGGAGUCUGUGCAGUCUCUUACUCAGCAUCUUUCAGUCUAAUGAAGGCUCACGUAAUGGCUGAGAGACAGCCCUCCCUCCUGCCAGGUCAGGAUUUCUGAGAUUCCUGGUACAGCCAAAGGUGGUGAACUGACAGAAAUGCUUUGGAUGCUCUUUACAGGUAUUCAGCACAACAGGAAUUUUCUGAUUUAAGCAAAAGGAAGAGUGGAUCUGCCUUACUGCAAAAGCUCUGCCAAUCAGCAUGGAAAAAGCAGAGUCCAGGAGUAAAUACUAUAAGAAAGCAUGUCGUGGCUUCAUGUACGCAAGACACUUCAGCAAUGCUAUAAUCUAUUGGAGGUGGGCAGGAAAGAGAAAAAUUGUUGUGUUUUUUUUUUCUAAGAUGUCUUCAGUAACUAGAAAUGUACCCUGGAAGGAGUCAUCCUGAUGGACAGUGUGAUGGCUCUUUUGUCACUUAUACUGCAGUUUCAAGUCUGGAAGCAACCGGCUAUCUCUGGUGGUCCUGCGUUCUCGGCUACUGACAGGAUUGGUCAUACAAAUGGCAACAGUACGUCAGAGCUUUGAAAUGGCUCAGUGGCAGCUGAGGCUGAGAAGCAAAACUGCUGUUAUUACUCCUAUGAGAAAGAAUGGAAGAUUGAUUUUAAUGACAACUUUGUCAGUGUUUAGCAAUGCUGUUUUUAAGCAGCUUAAAACAUAAUUUCCAAUUUCAACGACGUUCAGCCUUUCCUUUCCACAAAGGCUUAUAGUAGACCAGUGGUAUGCAACUGGCAUGAGCCAGAGCCAACAGAUGCCUGUAUUAAGGUGGUACCACCUGGGCUGAAGCCCAUGGAAAACUCAAAAUAUUCAUUUAAGAGUUUGCAGUGCUGUUUAUAACCAAACAUGGACAAGUAGUGUAAAUGAAUCUGUAGCGGUGACUCCAAUGGACAGCUGCAGAACUACAGAAAUGGAGCUGGGAGCAGGAUGUAGCUCACAGAGCUAACAGAAUAGUAAAGAGAAAGAAAGAAGACAAAUGGUAAUUAAAAAAAAACUCUGGAGAAUGCUGAUGAACCUGAUUUGACACCACUAGUGCUUCAGGACUAAGGGUAUGAAACAGGACAAUAGAAAAAAAUCCAGCUUUGAAUACUCUUGCUUUACAAUAAGAAAUACCAUUUGGUCUAUAGAUAAGAAGUAGGAAUAAAAAUCUGCCUUAAAACUGCUUGUGAGAAGGAAAAGAAUCGUUUGUUAUUUUAUACCAAUCUGUCCUUUGUUCUAAUGUCUUCAAUACCAGUGCUUAAUUCUCUGAACUCACAUUUGUUCUAAUCUGGUGUAGCAGAAAUGCUAACUCACAGCCUGAAGCAGUGAUUGAGCACCUGGUGGGACGGCAGGGCCAACCCAGGGGAGCUCAGGUGCAUGCAAUGUACUUGAGUGAGCAGAAGGGGUGUAGCCAGGAUCCACCCCUUCCCAAACCUCAUUUAAGGGUUGGCAGUGGAGGCAAGGAUUUCUUGCUGGAGGUUCCUGCCUACCAGAGGCCUUCUGAAAGACCAGAGCUUGGAGUUAGCAGCCUUUUGCUGUACAAAUAAUAAAGUCCCCAGAAGAACAUUGACUGCUCUUAACUGAAGUUCCUAAACCUGAAUUUUCAGAGGAAUUGGAUUUUAUUCAGCUUAUACAACCCUCUGUGAUUUUUAAGGAGUUGACCUGUGUUUAUGAAGAAGCCUUAUGUGUUUUCCCAGACUUCAGGAUUUUUCUUCUGCGAGUUUAUGAGAGAGACACAAAGAAAAAGCAAUAUCCCUUUCUUGAGCUUUGCACCUCUUUCUCCAGCAUUGAAGAUGUUCAAAGCAGAGUGUGUUGCAAAAGUCUCUGCUGUCUCAAAUGAAAUAGGAAUGGUUAUUGAGUUCCCUUUUUUUUUUAAUAGGUACUGUUUUCCAAAACAGGUUUGUAAGGAUGCGUUUUCCAGAUCCUGUUCAAAUCAUCGUUACUUCCCCGUACUGUUGAAAAUUGCUGAAAGCUUGAGCUGUCCUUGUGGCAUCUUGGCAUGAAUAUGACUGAUUCUGUGAAGUAUUCACCGGUGUAACCAAAGGAAAUAUAGGCAGUUUUAGCAAUAUAAAGUCCAUGAAGAUGCUCACAACUUAAGGAUCACGGUGCUGGAAGUGCAUACAUCCAGAACAGAAAAUUGUAAAACAAAAAAAAAAGACAAGGACUGCAGCCUUUUGGAAGACUCCAUCAUGGCUCACAGCUUCAGUUAUCAGUCCCAAUAAAAAAUUAAAAUGGUGGUUUAUGUCGUUUGAAAAAGUCACCUUUUCCUGGAGAUUC